rnacentral:misc_RNA from 1 species
GAAAUGCGAUAAGUAGUGUGAAUUGCAGAAUUCAGUGAAUCAUCGAAUCUUUGAACGCACAUUGCGCCCUUUGGUAUUCCUUAGGGCAUGCCUGUUCGAGCGUCAUUUAAACCUUCAAGCUCAGCUUGGUGAUGGGUGACUGUCCUCCCCUCGCGGGGGGGACUCGCCUCAAAAACAUUGGCGGCCGGUACAUUGGCUUCGAGCGCAGCAGAAACGCGGUCUCGAGUCCGUUGGAUCGGCUCCCAUAAGCCUUCUUUUUUAUUUUGACCUCGGAUCAGGUAGGGAUACCCGCUGAACUUAAGC